rnacentral:rRNA from 1 species
GAUGAACGCUGGCGGCGUGCUUAACACAUGCAAGUCGAACGGACGGAGGGAGCUUGCUCCCAAAGUUAGUGGCGGACGGGUGAGUAACGCGUGGGUAACCUACCCUAUGCAGGGGGAUAACAUUUGGAAACAGAUGCUAAUACCUCAUAACCUAAGAGUUUCGCAUGAAACACUUAGCAAAGAUUUAUCGGCAUAGGAUGGACCUGCGUUGGAUUAGCUAGUUGGUGAGAUAAUAGCCCACCAAGGCAACGAUCCAUAGCCGGCCUGAGAGGGUGAACGGCCACACUGGGACUGAGACACGGCCCAGACUCCUACGGGAGGCAGCAGUGGGGAAUAUUGCACAAUGGGCGCAAGCCUGAUGCAGCGACGCCGCGUGAAGGAUGAAUGUCUUCGGAUUGUAAACUUCUAUCAGCAGGGAAGAAUACCACGACGGUACCUGACUAAGAAGCCCCGGCUAACUACGUGCCAGCCGCCGCCGUAAGAC